rnacentral:tRNA from 1 species
GCCGUAGUGGUGUCCUUCGCGCUCGCCGCGCUGGCGGCGCUGUUCUCGGCGCUGUCGUAUGCGGAGCUGGCCGGUGCGGUGCCGGUCUCGGGUUC